rnacentral:rRNA from 1 species
UACGAGUGCCCCAAGCGUUAUCCGGAAUCAUUGGGCGUAAAGGGUGUGUAGGUGGCAGUGUUAGUCAAUUGUUAAAACCCGGGGCUUAACCCCGGAAGUGCGAUUGAAACGGCACAGCUAGAGGAUGGCAGAGAUGUAUGGAACUCAUGGAGUAGGGGUGAAAUCCGUUGAUAUCAUGGGGAACACCAAAAGCGAAGGCAGUACAUUGGGCCACUCCUGACACUGAAACACGAAAGCGUGGGUAGCGAAUGGGA